GUCUGGGUCUUGCGCAAUGGAAAUCUAUGAACCGUGUCAGGGUGGGAACACAGCAGCACUAAGUAGAAGCUUCCAUGUGACGCGAGGCAGCCUGGAGGGAG
rnacentral:SRP_RNA from 1 species